rnacentral:rRNA from 1 species
CACGUAGGGUGCGAGCGUUGUCCGGAAUUAUUGGGCGUAAAGAGCUCGUAGGCGGUGUGUCGCGUCGGCCGUGAAAACCUGUGGCUUAACUAUGGGCUUGCGGUCGAUACGGGCAUCACUGGAGUUCGGCAGGGGAGACUGGAAUUCCUGGUGUAGCGGUGAAAUGCGCAGAUAUCAGGAGGAACACCGGUGGCGAAGGCGACUCUUUGGCCUGUAACUGACGCUGAGGCACGAAAGCGUGGGGAGCAAACAGG